rnacentral:lncRNA from 1 species
GGGAGGUGUUAGGAGGGUGGCAUACCAGGAGGGGCCCUGUGAGUUCCGUGCCCCUUCCUCAGACCUUGUACUCCCUCACCUGGCUGGCCAUCUGCAGCCUUCGUAACAUCCUUUACAGUCUCAGGUCCAAAGUCCGGAGAGGCCCCCUCUGGUCACCCAACGUCGUCACCAACAUUGGCC